GACGAACGCUGGCGGCGUGCUUAACACAUGCAAGUCGAACGGAAAGGCCCCUUUUUGGGGGUGCUCGAGUGGCGAACGGGUGAGUAACACGUGAGUAACCUACCCUUGACUUUGGGAUAACUUCAGGAAACUGGGGCUAAUACCGGAUAGGAGCUCCUGCUGCAUGGUGGGGGUUGGAAAGUUUCGGCGGUUGGGGAUGGACUCGCGGCUUAUCAGCUUGUUGGUGGGGUAGUGGCUCACCAAGGCUUUGACGGGUAGCCGGCCUGAGAGGGUGACCGGCCACAUUGGGACUGAGAUACGGCCCAGACUCCUACGGGAGGCAGCAGUGGGGAAUAUUGCACAAUGGGUGGAAGCCUGAUGCAGCAACGCCGCGUGCGGGAUGACGGCCUUCGGGUUGUAAACCGCUUUCGCCUGUGACGAAGC
rnacentral:rRNA from 1 species